GCAGGAUUUAAUUAGGAAACAAACAUUAUUUUACACUUUUACAAAUGAAGUAAAAACUAAAUAUGAUUUAGAUUACAUUCAUUUUUACAAAACCAACAUCGCCACUGUAAGGUGAAGGACAUGGGUAAAAUGUCAGGUUUCUACUGAAUAACAACACACUGAACGUGUUUCAUGGUGAAACUAAACUCUAUACAAAUGUAGAUGCAAUCAUUUAUGUUCUUUGUACCUGGUGCAUCUUUAUGAAUCACACUUGAUUUUUUUUUUUACCUUUGUCAAAGAAUGUUACGUUAUAAUUAAUUGAUGUUCAGUGUUGUAGCUGGUACAAAACUGACGGAUAUAGCUUGUAUUCGAGCAGAGGUAUAUAUGGCAUUGAUUCUGAUGGGCCUGGAUCCAAGUUCAAGUGUCUAUUGUCCCUAUAUCCGAAAGGGAAUAAGAGCACUCUAACAUGCUUUCAUUUAAACAGGUUAUAAAAUGUGCCAAAAUGAACCAAGUGCGAGACGGCUGUGCUCGAGAUGGCUGUGCUCAAAUCCACCACAUCUCUUAGAACUGUGUUCAAAAUAUAAUUCAGUAGAGUUUGUAAGGGGUGAGCCAGUGUGUGAAAACGGUAUUUGCGUACUAAUAAUUCCUGUCGAGGUCUGGUGCAAAUCAUCUCGUCAUACAGGCAUUUAUACCAGCUAGGUUUUCUCUGUUCAUUAAAUAGUCCUGUGUGCAUACUUAGUGAUAGUUCACCCUCAUUUUAAUGUGGACAUGGCAGUUUUAAUUGUUCCAAUUCAUUUGUAAUUUUGUACUGUUAUUUUCUUCCUUGCAGCAGGAUUUCUCCAAAAGACAGAUGUAUUGAAUUUGGCAUGCUCAACUUACAGGGCUGCCAUAUUUCAUAGGGCCGUACGCAGUCAAUCACAGACGAAAUCCCGCUGACUCAACAACAUCAAAAACAGCCCAAACGUACCCUUUUCUGUACAACCCUAUCUUUAUACCGACCCGCCCAAGCCCAUUUUUGCCCACACACGGUCAUUAAAAAUAUCCCAAUUGUCUAGCACCACUGUCAAUGUCACUGAAGUACAAAAAGGUCUGAAAUAAAAUGUGAUUUCUAGGGUGAGACAUCACAGCAGUGUCAAUCCAGAUCCACCGCUGCAUACACACAUUCACUUUCUCCAGCGCAAAUGUGCACAUUCAAAAGCUGCCACUCAAACAGAAAACAAUAAGCCAAACAUGUUAUAAAUAAACAUAAUGAACUGAUUAAAAAUUCAAACAGUUUAAAAUGUGUGUUUAAGAAGUUGUAGCUAUUCCUUUCAAUGUUAAAGAGCCCGUUUCAGGUUUGUCAAUAUGAUUUGUGGAAAGCAGUUUGUUCAGUCUGGUCUGUCACAUACUUGUGUCAGGGAGGAAGACCACUAAAGCUUGAAAAUGACCGUUCACCGAUUUGCGCAACGGUCAUAAAAUCACACUAAUUUAUCAAUAUCAAAAGAGGAGAGUUGAAUACGCUUGUCCAUCAUACACAGGCUUACCAAGAGAUCAGCACUGGACAAUGCAAUGCUCCACUACUCCCCAGUUAAACUUUGGCUUUUACUUUGAAGUCAAACCUGCCAAAUGUGAUAACUAGCCACAUAAACAUCAUGAAUUAAUGCCACUUAACCAUAUGGGUCUGGAAUGUUGUUUUAGUACUAUCAGAGAACCAAUGAAACGCUAAAGGGAAAAAAGGAUACAGAAAGAGUCUAGUUCCUUUUGACAUGGCUUCCGUAAUCUAUUCAAGCCAGUCCAAUAUUUGCCACUCAAAUUCUGAAAAUAUUUGGGAGAACCGGGAAAAGUAUUAGCAAGAUGGGAGGUUUAAACAAAAAUAAAUAAUAAAAAAAAAAACAUACAGGAGAACGGUUAUAUGCCCCUAAUCAGGUGUUCCCUGAACUUUUGUCCUCAAGAAGCAUGGGUGAGAACAUCACCGGUUUUUUUUGUGGGACAACCAGAAACUGAAAGUUGCCAGUUUAUUUAUGACUCAAUUGCUUAGAUUUCAUGACAAAAAUGUAACAAGUCAAACUUCAAUACAAAAAAAAGUAUACAUAUGUCAAGCAUCAAAGCCUUCUGAGGCAUCGUGGAACAAUUCUGUGAGUCUAAAGUUUGGGAACCCCUGACCAAGCCUCACACACCAGCCAAAUGCCCCCUGAUGCCACAUAAACUUAAAUUAGUGUUGCACACUGCAGCUAGAAUGCUAACUAGAACAAAAAAAAUGUGAACACAUUACUCCGGUACUAGCCUCUUUACACUUGCUGCCUGUUAGAGUUACGGCUGAUUUUAAGGUUUUAUUAACCUAUAAAUCAAUACAUGGACUUGCUCCUACUUCCCUUGCUGAAAUGAUCAAGCCAUACAUACCUACACGUAACCUUAGAUCCCAUGAUGCAGGCCUUUUAAUUGUACCUAGAAUUUCUAAACAAACUGCCAGAGGCAUGAGGUUUUCUCAGAGCUCCACAACUGUGGAAUGAUUUGCCAAUUAAGGUUAGAAAUGCAAACUCAGUGCAAACUUUCAAGUGACUACUAAAGCCUCAUCUCUACAGCACGGUCUAUGAUUAAGUGUAGCCUGGCCCGGGGGCGUGAAGGUGACCAGAAAGGCUUGAUACGGUCCACCCUUGCGGUCUUGGGAUGCCCUCCGUCCAAUGCUUUUCGGGGGCGGAGUCACUGGCUUGUUGUUGUCUGUACUCUGCUGGCAAUACUGGGCCAUUAUUCAGGGUGGUUGCGGUUGGUGGGUGUCCCUUUAUUUAAUGCUUGGCAAUUUGGGUGGAUUGAUUUCCUGCCUGUUGGGCCCUGUCCGGGGCCUCUCCCAAAGUGUCACCGGACCCCCCUGUCUCAGCCCCAAAGUCUUACACAGCAAUAUUAUUGUGCUGGGGAGUAGGGUUAGAUCUUCUACUCCACUAGGAGGACAUGAGGUCCUGGCCCACACCUGAGGAGUACCUGGCUUGAAAAGACCCGUUGCUGUCCCUGUCCAAAGUCCUCCCUGGUUGGGUUGCAGAUCAUGACGAUACCUGACGAUUUCAGCUGCCACUGUGCUGACACCUCCCCCUCCCCGUGUUGUCCCUGUCCAUCUGGUCAUGCUUCCGACCUGGACUAAGUUUAAAUCGACUCUGGACUCACCCGGCACAGCCAGAAGAGGACUGGUCACCCCUCUGAGCCUGGGUCCUCUCUAGGUUUCUUCCUAAAUUUCAGCCUUCUUAGGGGGUUUUUCCUAGCCCCUGAAAUUCAAAAAUACUGUUGUUUGCUCCUUGGGACUUAAGGCUGGGUGUUUUGUAAAAGCACUUUGUGACAACUGCUGAUGUAAAAAGGGCUUUAUAAAUACAUCUGAUUGAUUGAUUUGAAGGGAACGGCCAUAACUCUGUGGUGAGCUUUAGGCAGCACAAUGCCUUGUGAAUACCUCAGUCUGCAGUACCAAUUACAUUUUACAUCUUUGGACGACUGUCCAAUUCCAACAGUGUAGCCCAGCGCUUAAACAAAAAUCACACUACACAGUAGGUAAAUGGGAGUUAUUCACACAAACAAGGUGAAGAAAAAAAACAAGAUUUAAACUGAGGCACUCAAAAUUAUGUUACCAUUAGCAGUCCCUUCAUAUGUUGUGUAACUACGAUAAUCAACUGCAGAGGGAUUUUUACCCUAGUCCUAAACCACAUAAAAUGAAAACCACACAGUAGUGGCAAAAUUACAGUAACUUUCUCAAAACUCCCAGCUUUUCCAGAAACAUUGCAACCAGAGACACAGACAAAUACAGAGUGAACAAAUCACAGUCCUACUAAAAUAAAACGGUAACUGACUAAAUACGGCAGGAUGUCUUGGCGUGUACUGAGCUUGAUGUGGAGCAUAGCGGGGAAGUCUUGAUUCCGGGUUUGUGUCCUAUACACAGGGCAACAAGUUCUAGACAAUUUUGUUUUGCCAUUUCUGCAGAUCCGGCUGAACUGCAGUUCAUUUUCCUGUAUUGGUUGUUGUUUAAUUUCACAGGCCUCCAUGUCUUCUACGGACAGUUGAUGGACCUGUAGACGGAGCAAAGAAAAUAAUGACAUACAGCUUUGUUGAGGACUCCAAUAAGGAUUAGUCCAGUUGGAUGAGGCGCAAGGCUCAACAGUCUGGAAAAGAGAAAACGCCAAUAUGUCAGUGAAUACAAAACAGGUUUAGCUACUUUUCAAUUUGCAGUAUCUGGUAACUCAAUGGUCUCUACCAGCCCAGAAUCAGAACUUUAAACUAGAUAAACAUGAUUCCCCUUCAAAGAGUCAAUCGGUCAGGUCAAGAUUACAUCGUCACAUUUGGGUCCUUGUAAAUCAACCAGGCUGUUGCCUGGCGACCACUAGCACCACCUAUGAAUGUAAGAAUUUCAUGGCUUCAGACGGCAACUCAAAGUUCUGCCUGUCUGACCAAACACCCCAAAUCCCUGUGGGCCUCCUUGGUCUCGGGCUUGAUGUAAUUUUAAAACCUGCAGGUGUUUGGUUCUGCUUCGAUAAGCCGGGAGUGAGUUAGUGGCAUCGUCUUCUGCUCUGUUUGGGGAAAUGCACUUUGCUGACGAAAUAAAAAUAACCUCCUUGUAUAAGGAAACACAUUUUACCAAGACCGGUAUCAGUCAGGGAGGGCUCUCUCAUAUCG
ensembl:lncRNA